rnacentral:rRNA from 2 species
UUUCGCAAUGCCCGAAAGGGUGACGAAGCGACGCCGCGUGUGGGAAGAAGGCCUUCGGGUUGUAAACCACUGUCGGGAGUUAGGAAAUGUAAGGGUGCUAAUAGUAUCCUUACUUGACUAAGGCUCCGGAGGAAGCCACGGCUAACUCUGUGCCAGCAGCCGCGGUAAUACAGAGGCGGCAAGCGUUGUUCGGAAUUAUUGGGCGUAAAGAGCACGUAGGCGGCCUUGUAAGUCAGUUGUGAAAGCCUUCUGCUUAACGGAAGAACAGCAGCUGAUACUGCAAGGCUAGAGUGCGGAAGGGGAGAGUGGAACUUCUGGUGGAGCGGUGAAAUGCGUAGAUAUCAGAAGGAACACCGGCGGCGAAGGCGACUCUCUGGUCCGUAACUGACGCUGAGUGUGCGAAAGCUAGGGGAGCAAACGGGAUUAGAUACCCCGGUAGUCCUAGCCGUAAACGAUGGGCACUAAGUAGAGGGGUUUU